UCGACACCUCAUUCAUGGGUCUAGGACAAAAACUGCGGGACAAGUUACGCGCCGAAGUUUUGUCCAGAAGAAGAAGAAUAAUAACUAGAAUGUACAUUUCCUGAAGAAAAUGUGAAUGGUGCUUGCAGUGGCAAAAUUCGCCACUCGGUUGCUAGGGUGCUGUAAUUGGUUGCUAGGGCGUGGCUAUGAAGUUGCUGUGUCACUACCUAUUGGCUGGCCUAGUCAAAAGAGCCCAGCCCCAAGUCUCUAUGACCUUCUGAUCCAAAAAUAUGAUCUCAGAGAUUUUGUGGCAAUGUUAAGUCUAUGGGACUUUUUUCAGCCGAUUUUUCGUACGCUGUGCGAACAUCGUACACCCGAUUGCUUAGAAAAGUCAUAGCACACCUCUCCUCAAUAAACCGGUCGAUUUGACACCUCAUUUAUGGGUCUACGACAAACGGUGCGGGACGAGUUACGCGCCAAAGUUUUGUCCAGGUGAAUAGUAAUUACAAUACUAGAAUGUACAUUUCCUGAAGAAAAUGUGAAUGGUGCUUGCAGUGGCAAAAUUCACCACUCGGUUGCUAGGGUGCUGUAAUUGGUUGCUAGGGCGUGGCUAUGAAGUUGCUGUGUCACUACCUAUUGGCUGGCCGAGUCAAAAGAGCCCAGCCCCAAGUCUCUAUGACCUUCUGAUCCAAAGAUAUGAUCUCAGAGAUUUUGUGGCAAUGUUAAGUCUAUGGGACUUUUUUCAGCCGAUUUUUCGUACGCUGUGCGAACAUCGUACACCCGAUUGCUUAGAAAAGUCAUAGCACACCUCUCCUCAAUAAACCGGUCGAUUUGACACCUCAUUCAUCGGUCUACGACAAACGGUGCGGGACGAGUUACACGCCAAAGUUUUGUUCAGGUGAAUAGUAAUUACAAUACUAGAAUGUACAUUUCCUGAAGAAAAUGUGAAUGGUGCUUGCAGUGGCAAAAUUCACCACUCGGUUGCUAGGGUGCUGUAAUUGGUUGCUAGGGCGUGGCUAUGAAGUUGCUGUGUCACUACCUAUUGGCUGGCCGAGUCAAAAGAGCCCAGCCCCAAGUCUCUAUGACCUUCUGAUCCAAAGAUAUGAUCUCAGAGAUUUUGUGGCAAUGUUAAGUCUAUGGGACUUUUUUCAGCCGAUUUUUCGUACGCUGUGCGAACAUCGUACACCCGAUUGCUUAGAAAAGUCAUAGCACACCUCUCCUCAAUAAACCGGUCGAUUUGACACCUCAUUCAUCGGUCUACGACAAACGGUGCGGGACGAGUUACACGCCAAAGUUUUGUUCAGGUGAAUAGUAAUUACAAUACUAGAAUGUACAUUUCCUGAAGAAAAUGUGAAUGGUGCUUGCAGUGGCAAAACUCGGCACUCGGUUGCUAGGGUGUUUCUAGGCAAUUGCUAAGGUGUUCUGGGUGGUUGUUAGGCGGUUGCUAUGGUAACCUGGGUGGUUGCUAGGGUGUUGCUAGUCAGUUGCUAAGGUACUUGGGGUGGUUGCUAAGGUGUUGCUAGGCGGUUGCUAGGGUGUUCUGGGUGAUUGCUAGGCGGUUGCUAUGGUAACCUGGGUGGUUGCUAGGGUGUUGCUAGGCAGUUGCUAAGGUACUUGGGGUGGUUGCUAAGGUGUUGCUAGGCGGUUGCUAGGGUGUUCUGGGUGGUUGCUAGGCGGUUGCUAUGGUAACCUGAGUGGUUGCUAGGCGGUUGCUAGGCAGUUGCUAAGGUACUUGGGGUGGUUGCUAAGGUGUUGCUAGGCGGUUGCUAGGGUGUUCUGGGUGGUUGCUAGGCGGUUGCUAUGGUAACCUGGGUGGUUGCUAGGCUGUUGCUAGGCAGUUGCUAAGGUACUUGGGGUGGUUGCUAAGGUGUUGCUAGGCGGUUGCUAGGGUGUUCUGGGUGGUUGCUAGGCGGUUGCUAUGGUAACCUGGGUGGUUGCUAGGGUGUUGCUAGGCAGUUGCUAAGGUACUUGGGGUGGUUGCUAAGGUGUUGCUAGGCGGUUGCUAGGGUGUUCUGGGUGGUUGCUAGGCGGUUGCUAUGGUAACCUGGGUGGUUGCUUGGCGGUUGCUAGGCAGUUGGUAAGGUACUUGGGGUGGUUGCUAAGGCGAUGCUAGGCGGUUGCUAGGGUGUUCUGGGUGGUUGCUAGGCGGUUGCUAUGGUAACCUGGGUGGUUGCUAGGGUGUUGCUAGGCAGUUGCUAAGGUACUUGGGGUGGUUGCUAAGGUGUUGCUAGGCGGUUGCUAGGGUGUUCUGGGUGGUUGCUAGGCGGUUGCUAUGGUAACCUGGGUGGUUGCUUGGCGGUUGCUAGGCAGUUGGUAAGGUACUUGGGGUGGUUGCUAAGGCGAUGCUAGGCGGUUGCUAGGGUGUUCUGGGUGGUUGCUAGGCGGUUGCUAUGGUAACCUGGGUGGUUGCUAGGCGGUUGCUAGGCAGUUAGUAAGGUACUUGGGGCAGUUGCUAAGGUGUUGCUAGGCGGUUGCUAGGGUGUUAUGAGUGGUUGCUAGGCAGUUGCUAUGGUAACCUGAGUGGUUGCUAUGAUGUUACUAGGUGGUUGGUAGUUGUCACAGAUGGUUACUAUGGUGUUUUUAUAGAGUUCUUAGCAUGAUCUUAGACACUUUAGCACUUAGCUAAUCACUAUUAGCAUGUAGCUAUUCACUGCUAGCAUGUGUAGCAUGUUGGAAGUCCAGUUUGCUAGCAUGAGUCAAAAGAGCCAACCGCCAUGUCUCUACGAUGUUCUGAUGCAGAGAUAUAGGUCUUGCAAAACGGUUGCUAGGGUACUCUAUUUGGUUGCUAGGGAGUGGCUUGGCAGCUACCAAUGAUGAUACUCCAAAGGCUGCUUGCCAGUAUGAAUGAUAUAAACCAACCCCCAUGCUUCUAUGAUAUUCAGAUUUGAAGAUAUCCCUCUGUGCUUUGGGUUGCUAGGAUGCUCUAAAUGGUUGCUAGGGCGUGGCUAUGAAGUCUUGAAGGUGAUUCGUGAUUGGCCGUUUGCUGUCCCGAGUCAAAUGAGCCCACCCUCAUCUUCCUAUGACACUUCUAUCCAAAGGACUAUCUUUGAUCUUUUUGAAUGGAAGUCUAUGGAACCUGUUGCUAUGGUGCUCUAUAUGGUUGCUAGGGCGUGGCUUGAUAGCGUCACAUUGAUCCUGAGAGACUGAUUGGUUGCCUGAGUGAAAUGAGCCCGCCCCCUUGUCUCUAUGACACUGUGAUCAAUAGUGAGAGAUGUGAGUGAGUGAGAGAAAGGGUUCUAAGGCCCUGCGUGUGUGUGCGUGUGUGAGAAAGUGACAGUUGAGAUUCAAAUUUCUGAACAUUCCGCCAUUGAAAGUCAAUGGGACUUUUUUGGCCGCUUUUUCGCCCCCUGUGCGAACAUCGUUGGGCCGAUCGCUUAUAAAAGUCAUAGCACACCUCUCCUCAAUGAGCCGGUCGAUUUGACACCUCAUUCAUGGGUCUAGGACAAAAACUGCGGGACAAGUUACGCGCCAAAGUUUUUGUCCAGAAGAAGAAGAAGAAUAAUAAUAAUAACUAGAAUGUACAUUUCCUGAAGAAAAUGUGAAUGGUGCUUGCAGUGGCAAAAUUCAGCACUCGGUUGCUAGGGUGUUUCUAGGCAAUUGCUAAGGUGUUCUGGGUGGUUGCUAGGCGGUUACUAUGGUAACCUGGGUGGUUGCUAGGGUGUUGCUAGGCAGUUGCUAAGGUACUUGGGGUGGUUGCUAAGGUGUUGCUAGGCGGUUGCUAGGGUGUUCUGGGUGGUUGCUAGGCGGUUGCUAUGGUAACCUGGGUGGUUGCUAGGGUGUUGCUAGGCAGUUGCUAAGGUACUUGGGGUGGUUGCUAAGGUGUUGCUAGGCGGUUGCUAGGGUGUUCUGGGUGGUUGCUAGGUGGUUGCUAUGGUAACCUUGGUGGUUGCUAGGCGGUUGCUAGGCAGUUGCUAAGGUACUUGGGGUGGUUUCUAAGGUGUUGCUAGGCGGUUGCUAGGGUGUUCUGGGUGGUUGCUAGGCGGUUGCUAUGGUAACCUGGGUGGUUGCUAGGCGGUUGCUAGGCAGUUGGUAAGGUACUUGGGGCAGUUGCUAAGGUGUUGCUAGGCGGUUGCUAGGGUGUUAUGAGUGGUUGCUAGGCAGUUGCUAUGGUAACCUAGGUGGUUGCUAUGAUGUUACUAGGUGGUUGGUAGUUGUCACAGAUGGUUACUAUGGUGUUUUUAUAGAGUUCUUAGCAUGUUCUUAGACACUUUAGCAAUUAGCUAAUCACUAUUAGCAUGUAGCUAUUCACUGCUAGCAUGUUUAGCAUGUUGGAAGUCCAGUUUGCUAGCAUGAGUCAAAAGAGCCAACCGCCAUGUCUCUACGAUGCUCUGAUGCAGAGAUAUAGGUCUUGCUAAACGGUUGCUAGGGUACUCUGUUUGGUUGCUAGGGAGUGGCUUAGCGGCUGCCAAUGAUGAUACACCAAAGGCUGCUUGCCAAUAUAAGCCAACCGCCAUGUCCCUACGAUGCUCUGAUACAGAGAUAUAGGUCUUGCUAAACGGUUGCUAGGGUACUCUGUUUGGUUGCUAGGGAGUGGCUUAGCGGCUGCCAAUGAUGAUACUCCAAAGGCUGCUUGCCAGUAUGAAUGAUAUAAAUCAACCCCCAUGCCUCUAUGAUAUUCAGAUUUGAAGAUAUCCCUCUAUGCUUUGGGUUGCUAGGGUGCUCUAAAUGGUUGCUAGGGCGUGGCUAUGAAGUCUUAAAGGUGAUUCGUGAUUGGCCGUUUGCUCUCCCGAGUCAAAUGAGCCCACCCUCGUGUUCCUAUGACACUUCUAUCCAAAGGACUAUCUUUGACCUUUUUGAAUGGAAGUCUAUGGAACCUGUUGCUAUGGUGCUCUAUAUGGUUGCUAGGGCGUGGCUUCAUAGCUUCACAUUGAUCCUGAGAGACUGAUUGGUUGCCUGAGUGAAAUGAGCCUGCCCCCUUGUCUCUAUGACACUGUGAUCAAUAGUGAGAGAUGUGAGUGAGUGAGAGAAAGGGUUCUAAGGCCCUGCGUGUGUGUGCGUGUGUGAGAAAGUGACAGUUGAGAUUCAAAUUUCUGAACAUUCCGCCAUUGAAAGUCAAUGGGACUUUUUUGGCCGCUUUUUCGCCCCCUGUGCGAACAUCGUUGGGCCGAUCGCUUAUAAAAGUCAUAGCACACCUCUCCUCAAUGAGCCGGUCGAUUUGACACCUCAUUCAUGGGUCUAGGACAAAAACUGCGGGACAAGUUACGCGCCGAAGUUUUUGUCCAGAAGAAGAAGAAGAAUAAUAAUAAUAAUAAUAAUAAUAAGUAUGCAGGAGAACAAUAAUGAUGCUUUGCCUUUGGCAAGCACCAUUAACUAGAAUGUACAUUUCCUGAAGAAAAUGUGAAUGGUGCUUGCAGUGGCAAAAUUCGCCACUCGGUUGCUAGGGUGCUGUAAUUGGUUGCUAGGGCGUGGCUAUGAAGUUGCUGUGUCACUACCUAUUGGCUGGCCUAGUCAAAAGAGCCCAGCCCCAAGUCUCUAUGACCUUCUGAUCCAAAAAUAUGAUCUCAGAGAUUUUGUGGCAAUGUUAAGUCUAUGGGACUUUUUUCAGCCGAUUUUUCGUACGCUGUGCGAACAUCGUACACCCGAUUGCUUAGAAAAGUCAUAGCACACCUCUCCUCAAUAAACCGGUCGAUUUGACACCUCAUUUAUGGGUCUACGACAAACGGUGCGGGACGAGUUACGCGCCAAAGUUUUGUCCAGGUGAAUAGUAAUUACAAUACUAGAAUGUACAUUUCCUGAAGAAAAUGUGAAUGGUGCUUGCAGUGGCAAAAUUCACCACUCGGUUGCUAGGGUGCUGUAAUUGGUUGCUAGGGCGUGGCUAUGAAGUUGCUGUGUCACUACCUAUUGGCUGGCCGAGUCAAAAGAGCCCAGCCCCAAGUCUCUAUGACCUUCUGAUCCAAAGAUAUGAUCUCAGAGAUUUUGUGGCAAUGUUAAGUCUAUGGGACUUUUUUCAGCCGAUUUUUCGUACGCUGUGCGAACAUCGUACACCCGAUUGCUUAGAAAAGUCAUAGCACACCUCUCCUCAAUAAACCGGUCGAUUUGACACCUCAUUCAUCGGUCUACGACAAACGGUGCGGGACGAGUUACACGCCAAAGUUUUGUUCAGGUGAAUAGUAAUUACAAUACUAGAAUGUACAUUUCCUGAAGAAAAUGUGAAUGGUGCUUGCAGUGGCAAAAUUGAAACUCGGUUGCUAGGUGGUUGCUAAGGCGUGACUAUGAAGUUAAGUCAAGUCACUACUUGUUGGCUUCUUGAUAGACUGAUUCAGCUGAGCCCAACACCAAGUCUCUAUGAUCUUCUGAUCCAAAGUUAUGAUCUCACAGAUUUUGUCCCAAUGUUAAGUCUAUGGGACUUUUUUCAGCUGAUUUUUUGUCCGCUGGGCAAACUUCGUACACCCGAUCGCUUAGAAAAGUCAUAGCACACCUCUCCUCAAUAAGCCGGUCGAUUUGACACCUCAUUUAUGGGUCUACGACAAACGGUGCGGGACGAGUUACGCGCCAAACUUUUCUCCAGGUGAAUAGUAAUUACAAUACUAGAAUGUACAUUUCCUGAAGAAAAUGUGAAUGGUGCUUGCAGUGGCAAAACUCGGCACUCGGUUGCUAGGGUGUUUCUAGGCAAUUGCUAAGGUGUUCUGGGUGGUUGUUAGGCGGUUGCUAUGGUAACCUGGGUGGUUGCUAGGGUGUUGCUAGUCAGUUGCUAAGGUACUUGGGGUGGUUGCUAAGGUGUUGCUAGGCGGUUGCUAGGGUGUUCUGGGUGGUUGCUAGGCGGUUGCUAUGGUAACCUGAGUGGUUGCUAGGCGGUUGCUAGGCAGUUGCUAAGGUACUUGGGGUGGUUGCUAAGGUGUUGCUAGGCGGUUGCUAGGGUGUUCUGGGUGGUUGCUAGGCGGUUGCUAUGGUAACCUGGGUGGUUGCUAGGCUGUUGCUAGGCAGUUGCUAAGGUACUUGGGGUGGUUGCUAAGGUGUUGCUAGGCGGUUGCUAAGGUGUUCUGGGUGGUUGCUAGGCGGUUGCUAUGGUAACCUGGGUGGUUGCUAGGGUGUUGCUAGGCAGUUGGUAAGGUACUUGGGGCAGUUGCUAAGGUGUUGCUAGGCAGUUGCUAGGGUGUUAUGGGUGGUUGCUAGGCAGUUGCUAUGGUAACCUGGGUGGUUGCUAUGAUGUUACUAGGUGGUUGGUAGUUGUCACAGAUGGUUACUAUGGUGUUUUUAUAGAGUUCUUAGCAUGUUCUUAGACACUUUAGCACUUAGCUAAUCACUAUUAGCAUGUAGCUAUUCACUGCUAGCAUGUGUAGCAUGUUGGAAGUCCAGUUUGCUAGCAUGAGUCAAAAGAGCCAACCGCCAUGUCUCUACGAUGCUCUGAUGCAGAGAUAUAGGUCUUGCUAAACGGUUGCUAGGGUACUCUGUUUGGUUGCUAGGGAGUGGCUUGGCAGCUGCCAAUGAUGAUACACCAAAGGC